rnacentral:rRNA from 1 species
CAUGGGGCACGAGGAUCAGCGAGGACCAUCUCGUAAGGCUAAAUACUACUGUGAACCUACUAGUACCGAAGUGACCGAUAGUGAACCAGUACCGUCGGCCCGUGGGUGAAAAGAACCCCGCAAGGGGAGUGAAAUAGACAUGAAACCAUUAGCUUACAAGCAGUGGGAGUCCGAUUAAAACCGCGUGCCUGUUGAAGAAUGAGCGUAACCAUAGGCACUGAAGACGAGAAUGUCGGAGCCAACCGAGUCUGAAAAGGGUACCCAACUCGAUUUCGUACCAGCGAUAAUCAGUGUUUAUAGACCCGAACCCUGGUGAUCUAACCAUGGCCAGGAUGAAGCUUGGGUAACACUCCGAACCGACCGAUGUUGAAAAAUCGGCGGAUGAGUUGUGGUUAGGGGUGAAAUGCCAAGGAUCAUGGCUCGAACCAGGAGCUAGCUGGUUCUCCCCGAAAUGUGUUGAGGCGCAGCGGUAAUGAUUAUAGUCGGGGGGGCGGGCUGGGAGACCGGUACCAAAUCGAGACAAACUCAGAAUACCCGAUGGACCGUUGCAAUUGCCUGAUGACGGUGGGGGAUAAGCUUCAUCGUCAAGAGGGAAACAGCCCCCGUACCCGAAAUAGACCACCAGCUAAGGUCCCCAAAUCAUCGCUAAGUGGAGGUGAGAUUGCCUAGACAACUAGGAGGUUUAAGACUGCCUAGAAGCAAAGAGUGCGUAAUAGCUCACUAGUCAAGCGAUCUUGCGCCGAAAAUGAACGGGGCUAACACACUGGAUCGCGAUGUACCGAAGCUGUGGGAUUAACUAAACAUUAAUCGUAGGGGAGCGUUCCGUAGUAGGAAGAAGCAGUAGCGGCAAGCAGCUGUGGACGAGACGGAAGUGAGAAUGUCGGCUUGAGUAGCGCAAACAUUGGUGAGAAUCCAAUGCCCCGAAACCCUAAGGGUUCCAGAGCCAGGUUCGUCCACUCUGGGUUAGUCGGGACCUAAGGCGAGGCCGACUGAAAUGAAGCGUUGAAGGCGUAGUGGGAGCAUCGUAGUUUGAUGAAACGUAAAUGCUAGGGACGCAUGAAAGAUAGCUACGCCCUGAUUGGUUUGGGAGGAGUUUACGAACUCCGAGUAGUGAAGGAUAAAGCUAGUAAUGUGAUGAACCCCCGUACUGAACGUAACUGACGAUCCGAAACCGACACAGGUAGGGAGGUUGAGAAUACCAAGGGGCGCGAGAUAACUCUCUCUAAGGAACUCGGCAAAAUGGCCCCGUAACUUCGGAAGAAGGGGUCCGUACGUACGUAACCGUACAACUCUUGCCCACCGAUGCGACUGUUUACCAAAAACACAGGUCUCCGCAAACUCGUAAGAGGAAGUAUGGGGGCUGACGCCUGCCCAGUGCCGGAAGGUUAAGGAAGUUGGUCAGGGCGAAAGUUUGAAGCUGACGACCGAAGCCCCGGUGAACGGCGGCCGUAACUAUAACGGUCCUAAGGUACUUGUCGGGUAAAGGAAGAUAGUUCCGACCCGCACGAAAGGCGUAACGAUCUGGAUGGUGUCUCAGAGAGAGACUCGGCGAAAUAGGAAUGUCUGUGAAGAUACGGACUGCCUGCACCUGGACAGAAAGACCCUAUGAAGCUUUACUGUAGCCCCUGGCCCUGACCAUGGAGGUGGGAAGCGAUGAAGUAUUCUUGACGAUUCGAUCCCCUUGUGGGGAAUAUGGAGCUAACGGUGAGAUACCACUCUGGCGAAGCUAGGAUUCUAACUUAUUUCCGUGAUCCGGAAAAAGGACAGUUUCAGGUGGGCAGUUUGACUGGGGCGGUCGCCUCCUAAAAGGUAACGGAGGCGCGCAAAGGUUCCCUCAGCACGCCCGUAGUCGUUUACCGUGGGCAUGCUUCAUAAAGGGAGCUUGACUGCAAGACCGACAAGUCGAGCAGGUACGAAAGUAGGCCUUAGUGAUCCGACGGCGCAGAAUGGAAUGGCCGUCGCUCAACGGAUAAAAGUUACUCUAGGGAUAACAGGCUGAUCUCCCCCAAGAGUCCACAUCGACGGGGAGGUUUGGCCCAGUAAACUAAACGAUGACCUCGCUGGGGCGGAAGUACGUCCCAAGGGUUGGGCUGUUCGCCCAUUAAAGCGGUACGUGAGCUGGGUUCAGAACGUCGUGAGACAGUUCGGUCCAUAUCCGGUGCAGGCGUAAGAGCAUUGAGCCAGUGCGUGUAGGAGCCUUCCUUAGUACGAGGACGCCACCGCUGGUGUACCAGUUAUUGUACCCGCAGU